rnacentral:rRNA from 1 species
ACGCUGGCGGCAGGCUUAACACAUGCAAGUCGAACGGUAACAGGAGAAAGCUUGCUUUCUUGCUGACGAGUGGCGGACGGGUGAGUAAUGCUUGGGAAUCUGGCUUAUGGAGGGGGAUAACGACGGGAAACUGUCGCUAAUACCGCGUAGAGUCGAGAGACGAAAGUGCGGGACCGCAAGGCCGCAUGCCAUAGGAUGAGCCCAAGUGGGAUUAGGUAGUUGGUGGGGUAAUAGCCUACCAAGCCGACGAUCUCUAGCUGGUCUGAGAGGAUGACCAGCCACACCGGGACUGAGACACGGCCCGGACUCCUACGGGAGGCAGCAGUGGGGAAUAUUGCGCAAUGGGGGCAACCCUGACGCAGCCACGCCGCGUGAAUGAAGAAGGCCUUCGGGUUGUAAAGUUCUUUCGGUAUUGAGGAAGGUUGUUGUGUUAAUAGCACGACAAAUUGACGUUAAAUACAGAAGAAGCACCGGCUAACUCCGUGCCAGCAGCCGCGGUAAUACGGAGGGUGCGAGCGUUAAUCGGAAUAACUGGGCGUAAAGGGCACGCAGGCGGACUUUUAAGUGAGGUGUGAAAUCCCCGGGCUUAACCUGGGAAUUGCAUUUCAGACUGGGAGUCUAGAGUACUUUAGGGAGGGGUAGAAUUCCACGUGUAGCGGUGAAAUGCGUAGAGAUGUGGAGGAAUACCGAAGGCGAAGGCAGCCCCUUGGGAAUGUACUGACGCUCAUGUGCGAAAGCGUGGGGAGCAAACAGGAUUAGAUACCCUGGUAGUCCACGCUGUAAACGCUGUCGAUUUGGGGAUUGGGCUUUAAGCUUGGUGCCCGAAGCUAACGUGAUAAAUCGACCGCCUGGGGAGUACGGCCGCAAGGUUAAAACUCAAAUGAAUUGACGGGGGCCCGCACAAGCGGUGGAGCAUGUGGUU